rnacentral:pre_miRNA from 13 species
AGACCCACCAAUCUUGGGUCAAGCUGGGCAACGAGACCCAAUGCGAUUGGGUCAGGCUGGGAAGCCAGACCCAACUUCUCAGCAGGACCCAAUAGCGUUGGGUCUUA